AGACUUGGGGGAUUACAUUAUGUACCAUAUAUUGGGCCUUAAUUGGGCCUCAUGAAAAAUACUCGGGGGACUUAGCCCAUUAUUUAUGUAUUGAGGAGUGAGUCCUUAUCCUAUAAAAGGGACUCCCUCACCAUCAUUAGAGAGCAUCAACUCUAGCCCAUUAUUCAUGUAUUGAGGAGCUAGCCCUUAGUCUAUAAAAGGGACUCCCUCACCAUCAUUAGAGAGCAUCAACUCUAGCCCAUUAUUCAUGUAUUGAAGAGCGAGCCCUUAGUCUAUAAAAGGGACUCCCUCACCAUCAUUAGAGAGUAUCAACUCUAGCCCGUUAUUCAUGUAUUGAGGAGCGAGCCCUUAUUCUAUAAAAGGGACCCCCUCACCUUCAACGCUACAAGCCGAGCCAACCAAGGCAACAUAAGCCACGAACUGAAUAGCCUCGCAGCAUGUGCUACUUCUAGUUGAGCAUCAUAUUGAGCACCGCCUCAUAUCGAGCAUCAGUUCCAGACAACAACUAGUUACUUCGGCCCACACAUGGACUGAAUUUCAAGUCUCCAGCCAAAAAACUCUCUUGACUGAAGACUUGGGGGACUACUGUUUAUACCAUACUUAGGGCCUCCGUAUUUAGAUCUCGUACAAAUACUCGGGGGACUUAAAUAUAAUUAUGUAAUAAAGGAAUGGGCAAAUAUGUAAUAAGUGAGGAGCCUUUAUUCUAUAAAAUGACUCCUCACCCUCACAAUUAGAGGAGGCAAACUCUUAGGCCUAAAGCCCUCUCACCCUCUCAUAUUACAGAGGCUUUCUCCCUCACAAUCUUCUCAGAAAUACAAUAUCAGUGUGGACGUAGCCCAAACCUUAGGGUGAACCACGAUACAUCUUGUGUUAUUUGCUUUCUUGCAGAUUCACAGUCGGAUUUAUGUUGUUCCAAGACCUCCGGUUUUGUGCAUCAACAGAGUGAUUAAUGGCGGAUCUGCCCACGCGUUUAUAUCAUUGUUAUUGAAGGAACACCAUGCUCAUGAACUCAUCAUGUAUAUAAAUAUGGCCAAGUGGUGAUGAGAGGUGCCCUCUCUAACUACAUCGGGCCUUUAAAUACAAAGAAGUGGAAAAGGAGAAUAGAGAAAGAAUAAGAGUGAGAGUCGACUGUGCAAGUGAAGGUUAUUAGGCCUACUUGCUCGUUUGCUACUUAUGAUGUUCUAGAAUUUCCAUGGAGGUACAACUUGAGUGCAACUAUCACGAAGGUAAGUUGUUUGACAAAAAUUCUAAGAGAACCAAGUAAUUGGUGGGUAGGGAGGGGAAAGUGGUGUGUGCUUGUGCUCAGGGGUGGAUGCAUUGAGGGGCAGGGGGGCUGACCCCCUGAACUUCAAUGAAUGUCCAGGGAUAACUUGAGUGGUGACCUUUCGAACUUCGGUGAAUAUCUAUGGAUGACUUGGAUGCUGCCUCUUUAAAGGUUGGAGUUGCCCUUCAUAUAUGCCCUUCAACUGCUUGUAAAAUGCAUUACAGAGGUGUUGCCCCUUUACAGUCUAGUCCUCAUAUUAUUUACCUCUAGCUUGUUUGUCGGUUGUGAUUACAAUUGUAGGCAGAAAAAAAGAACCAAGUAAAAAACUAUCAAAAAAUGCAAAGUAAAUGAAAUGGUGAUUUCAGAGAAUAACGCAUGCGUGAUUUUUACUGACCCCCCUAAUAUUAUUUCCUGGAUCUACCACGCUGCAUCUUGGACCACAACUACGUACUUUUUUUGUUCGUUAAGUUUUUGCUUUUCUGCAUUUAAGUUGAAGGUUAAAAUAGGAUUAAAAUGCAGGCGUUCUUUCAUGUAUUAUUUAGAUGUUUUGUUGUCCACCUUAGUUUUUGUUUCCUCCUAAAUCGUAAAGCAUAUUUUCUUAAGAAAAUUAAUGAAAAUGACUUGAAAACUUUGAGUUUUAACGAUAAGGACAAAAUAAAUGGUAAAGUGAAUAGUACUAUAUUUGACUUUUUAGUGUAAAAAUGUGGUUUUUCGUUAAAGUGAACAGUACCGUGAGCUUUUCGUUAAAACUCCCUUUCCUUUUUUCUUUAUUUUUUUUUUCUGUGUGAAAGGAAGCUGAACAUUUGGAACACAAAUUCACUGUCUUGGGUAAAAAUAUUAUUGGAUUUUGUUGUCCAAGGAGAUCUCAUGCAUGCGACCCAAAAUGGUCCUUCACUUACAUGUCUGCCACAUUAACACCCACCCGGUGGCAUCAGUUGGACCACCAUGUACGACCAGGGAGACCACUACUGCCUCGUUUGGGCCCUUUCCUCCCUGAAACACGUACUGUAAAUCUGUAAAAUUUGAUUUUAAUCUCAUACAGAAAAAAUACAUAUACAUAUAUAUAUAUACACACCUACAUAUAACUAAUAUUGUAAUUGUAAGAUUAAUCAACUUAUAAACUAAAUUUCUAAUAGAAAUGAAUUAUAAUAUCAGAGUUUCAAGCAUAAUAUAUAUGUGCUAUAAUAUAUAUGUACUAACUUAGAGAGUAGUCAAAUUAAGAUUUAUAAGAAGAAAGAAAAAAGAAAUUCAGAUUCAGUAGGAUUUUAAGAAUUAUAAGGUAGUCAAUCAAGAUUUUAAUUUUUUUUUAAAAUUAAUGUAAAUUUAUAUGUAAACUGAAAUUUUAAUAGUUAUUUAGCAAGUAUACAUGCAAAUCUAGAUAUAUUUCAGAAGCUUACAAAUUUUAUGGAAUUUCGUUUGAGUUGUGAAUUUUGAUAGAUUUAAGGAUAAACAGUAUACGUACCAAAGACACUAAACAAUUUCACCCUUUCCCAAAGAUUUUAUUGGAUUCCUCUGCAAUGAAUUCAUGAACUCUGUUGUUCACACCUGUGUCCUUCAUAACUUUCCUUUACGAUCCAGAAUCAUUCGACCUACCUAAUUAAAGCACCAUAUGUGUAAGACAUGACUGCAUUCUACUGUUAUGGGGCUCCCUAUAAUUAUCUGCAACCCCAUUUUUUUUUAUCAAACGUAUUUUAAUCACACUCAUCAGGGACCAAAUUUUCAUUUGUCUGCUGUCAACAAAAUAAAUUGAUAUCCCAUUUUUUUUUUCUUCUCAUUUACGGGAGAGAAAGAGAGAUGGAGAGGUGGAUUCUGGGUAGGUGAUGGUGUGACAAGGGCAUAGGAGGGAGGGGAUAUGGUGGUUAUUGGGUAGGGAGGAUGGGGAAGGGACACAGUUUUUCUUUUAUGUUUUAUUAUUUCCAAAAUCAAAUUAUUGAGAUAAAUGACUAGAAAAUCUUCCAAAAUCCAUCAAAAUUUAUGAAUAAAAUUCUCUAAAAAUUCAUCAAGUUCCACAAACGAAAUCCAUCACAAUCCUCAAAAGUGCAUUUGAAUUCUACAAAUCCUAUAAAAUCUACCACUUAGAAAGUCUUUUGAAAUCCUUCUAAAUGCUAAUUUGUUUACCUUUCAUAUGAACCUUGCAACAUCUCUCAAGUUUUUUUAUUCAGUUGUUGUUUAAAUCUUGUAUCAUCUCUCUAGUUCUCAUAGAAAAUAAAGAGAUCGAAUAAAGAUAAAAUACACCAAACAUGCCCAAAAUUUAUUAGUUUUUCGAUCCACUUAAAAUAGAGAAAUAAAUAACAUCAAGAACUAAAACAAAAAUGUUUUUUUAUUUUUUUAUUUUUUAUGAUCAUAAACACAAUAUACCAACAUAGAAUGUAUGAGAAAAGAGCGCCUUCAAAUCGCUUCUAAAGAUGAUCACGAUCUCAAAGAAAAUUGCCUAUCAGUCCCUAUAUUCGCUAGCAGCCUAGCAAAGAUAAAGGUUAGAUAAUUUUCCAGAAAAUAAAAAUUAAUGGAAGACGAGAUUUUUGCCCAUUUUUUUUUAAUACAGUAGAUAUACAUGACGGUGCCUUUUUUUAACACCAUUUUAGUUUUUUGAUCUCAUGCAUAUAUCUUUUAGAGAUCUUACUUCUUGACUUCACAUAUAGUACAUUUUCCACAACAGGUUAUAUAAAUAUUCUUUGUAUCUACAAAACUCAUCACGUGAUAAGUGUUGUAGAAAGGUGACACAACAUAUUUCUCUAUAUAACAACAGAUAUAUAUAUAUAUAUAUAUAUAUAUAUACAGAGAGCUUAAGGGGAGGGAUCCCCAUUUUUUCAAAAAAAAUGGGGACACGCUCCCCACCGUUAGAUUGACUUUAAUGAAAUUGUGUGGUUGAGAUUAAAACACAGGCCACAUAAUCUCAACCACAUGAUUUCAUUAAAGUCAAAUCCAACGGUAGGGAGCGUAUCCUCAUUUUUUUGAAAAAAUGGGGAUCCCUCCCCUUAAGCAAUUCCUAUAUAUAUAUAUAUAUAUAUAUAUAUAUAUAUAACUUAAUUGUUUAGAGCAUCUACAGACACACAUUUGAGAGUUUAUUUUAUUUUAUUUUUUAUUUUACCCAAGCAUCUAUAAAUAUAACUUAAUUGUUUUAGAAUGACUAAAACCCUUGUAGUGAAAGGGCUUUUGGGUUCUAAAAGCACUUGAAGUACAUAUUAGAUGGUGCUUCUUGCAUGAAGCAUUUUAAGUGAUUUUUCAAGAUUUACUUGCAUUUUUACUAAAAACUGGUAACUAUAAGUACUUUCAUUAAACGCGUUAACCGUUAUUUAAAAAGACUUCCAAACACACUUCUAGUCAAGCAGAGAAUAAAGCACGUAUAUGGGAUAUAGUACAUGCAUGAUUCAUAGCUGAAGUAUAAAUAAGAAGUAUAGAGGUCAGGAGACACACUCAAAGGACAAUUAGAAUGAUAUAGAACACAAUAGUAAGCUAUAAGAGCAUCCUCAAUGGGGGCUUUAUUCUCCUUGAGGCUACCACAUUUGUAGCUUUAAUGAAAAAUUUCAUCCCUAAUUGGCCGGAAAAUGGUGCUAUAUCCACCACAAAGGCUAGCAACUUCAAUCAUUGGGUAGUAAGAAGUUAGGCUACAUCUAGCCCCAAAAAGUAGGGGGACCACACCAAAUUGAGGGCCCAGUCUUUGUUUUCGUUUAGUUUAGAAAUGGGUGAGCCCCAUUUUUAAUUCCAAAAAAUGAUUUUAAGGGUUUAUUUUUCAACCGUUUAGGAUUUUAAGAGUUUAUUUUCAACUGUUUGUUGUUUAAGUAAGAAAACAUAUACAAACAACUAUUAUUUUUUGUGUUAUUGAUUAGAAAAAAAUGUUGUGCUUCGUGUUUAAUUUUCUAGAAUGAAAAAUCCAAAAAAAAAAUUGAUGAAAUUUAACAUUGGUAGUUUAGAGACCUAAACCGAAAAUAUAAACAAAUAACAUGACUAAAUUGUGAUAAGAUAAUCCAAUCCAAUUAUUGUUAUGAAAUGAAAAUCUUGUUUGAUUUCGGAGAAUGUGUCAUAUCAGAGAAAUAAACCAAUGGUUAUGAAAUGAAAUCUUAUCUUGUUUGAUCUCAUAGAAACAAACCAACAGAUGAGAUUGAAAUAAGAUAAUCAAAACCAAUGAUUGUUAUGAAACGAAAUCUUAUUUUGUCUGAUUUCAUAGAAACAAGCCAACGGAUGAGAUUGAGAUAAGAGAACCUACAACGAUGCAUAACUGAUGAAAUCUAACUUUAUCAGAAUUUGAAUAUUUUUAGAUUAAAAAGUUCAUAAAUUAAAAUUUAAGAUAACAUGUCCAAAAAUCAAGUUUAGAGAAGUUAAGACAAUAAUAAAUUUACCGCAUAAUCAAAUCACUACAUAAUAAAAUAUAUAGCCCUAUAUAGAGCCCGAAAUAUAUAUAGCCCCUUAUUGGGAUAGAUUCUUUUUUAGAGCCCUUAAGAUUCCUCGGAGCUCUAAAUUAGGCUAUAUCCACAACUUUUCUAGCCUCAUAUAGAGUUGAGGAUGCUCUAAAGAUCCCAAUAUAAAGGGUAAGAAGUUUGAAAUGAAAUCAUGACCACACAGGAUAAACCAUAAACUAUCAACUAUAUAUAGAAGACGAUGCUAAAGUACAUCAGCUCCAUGCAUUUUUUAAAAAUAAAUAAAUUGUGUAAUGGACAAUUAAAAUCACAAAUAAAAGAAAGAGCAGUGACCGGAGUUGUGUCAACAAUUGGAAUGCGUGUAAUGGACAAUUAAAAUCACUAAUAAAAGAAAGAGCAGUGACCGGAGUUGUGUCAAUAAUUGGAAUGCGUAUGAUUAUUAAUUAAUUAUGACUCAUUAUCUUAAGCAGAAAUUAAUACCAACGCUAGAUUCAAGUCUUAAUUAAACAUCGAAAGUAAUGAUAAUAUAGGUUCAUGAGCAGAAUAAGUGAAUGAAGGAGGGGUUAAUAUAUAUGUAAUUGUAAGAAAGAAAGUGUUGAAAUCUAUGUAAAGUAUGCGUUUUGUACGAAAUGGAAGAAAGAGAGAAAAUAGUUGAAAGAAAAUGCAUUAAAAUUCUAGACUUGCUAUAUAUGCAAGUUCUCUAAAUAAGCCAGAGUGAUCAGGUGGUCAUAGUUCAUACUUUAUUAUCUAAUUUAAGUAUAUUUCCAUUCCGAAAUUUUACGAUUUGGCAUUAAGGGAAGAUCAACUCCUACCUUAACAGUGAGAAUUGGAAAUCAGUGGUCCUAGCAUUGUAGUUCACUAUGUUAUAACUGGAAAUCUUGAGUUUGGACCUCUCUAAUUUAUUCAAUGCAUGUUUGGAGAUCGAUAUAUAUAACAUGUAUGCAUGAUUAACCAGAAAAUGAUGUACCUGAUGACAGAGGUGGUUCAUAAGGUUUUCCUCAUUAUCAAAACAUAAAAAAUAUAAAAUUCAUAGAUAUAGGUACGGAAGAUAUUUGCAUAUGACUGAAGAUAUAUCUAUAUCUUCAUGUUACGAUGGUACUUAUUACGUAGCCUAAUUGAGACCCAAUAAGAUGUGAAAGUAUCAUGGAUAGUGAUAGAGGCACACAGAUCUCUAUGAUCUUGAAAUGACUGAAGCAUCGGAUGUUACUAUUACUGAAGAAGUGAGAAAAUAGUUGGAGUACUGAAUAUUAUGUCCUUGAGAGGAGUGAUGAAUGAGAGGGGAGUGAGGUUACAUCUCAAGGGUCCCAAGUUGGAAGACGAGUCACUCUUUGGUUGGUCCUCAAACAAUUGUAUAGGCAUAGACAAAAAUGGCAGUGAGAAUGUGUGACCAUUUCCGACCAAGAUUUUGCAUAUCGAAGUUCCCAAACCGAUUCUAAUUUUCAAUGAUCUACUGAUUUCACAGCUAGAGAUCGAACCACUUGAAAUAUUUUUCUAAAAACAAUUAAUUCUUUGAAUCAAAUAGCGUCAACCCACCACCCAAAACAAGUGAGGAAAAAAAUCAUACACAGAGACGAUCUAAAACAUCUUUCACACAUUUCUAUUUUUGAGCAAUAGAAAGAUAGGAAAAAACCAAGCUUGUUAUUUGUUCACGAUUCAAAAGUAAUAAAUUUUAAAAUGAUGAUACAAUUUGAAGAUUUCCAUUGUAU
rnacentral:lncRNA from 1 species